ACAAGUUAAUAAACUAAAACUUUCAACAACGGAUCUCUUGGUUCUGGCAUCGAUGAAGAACGCAGCGAAAUGCGAUAAGUAAUGUGAAUUGCAGAAUUCAGUGAAUCAUCGAAUCUUUGAACGCACAUUGCGCCCCUUGGUAUUCCGGGGGGCAUGCC
rnacentral:rRNA from 2 species